GUGCCAGCCGCCGCGGUAAUACGGAGGAUCCAAGCGUUAUCCGGAUUUAUUGGGUUUAAAGGGUGCGUAGGUGGCCUGUUAAGUCAGGGGUGAAAGACGGUAGCUUAACUAUCGCAGUGCCUUUGAUACUGACGGGCUUGAAUACACUAGAGGUAGGCGGAAUGUGACAAGUAGCGGUGAAAUGCAUAGAUAUGUCACAGAACACCAAUUGCGAAGGCAGCUUACUAUGGUGUCAUUGACACUGAGGCACGAAAGCGUGGGGAUCAAACAGGAUUAGAUACCCUAGUAGUCC
rnacentral:rRNA from 1 species